rnacentral:rRNA from 1 species
GACAGAGGGUGCAACCGUUGUUCGGAAUUACUGGGCGUAAAGCGUGUGUAGGCGGCUCGAUAAGUCGGAUGUGAAAGCCCUGGGCUCAACCCAGGAAGUGCACUCGAUACUGUCGAGCUAGAGUAUCGGAGAGGUUGGUGGAAUUCUCGGUGUAGAGGUGAAAUUCGUAGAUAUCGAGAGGAACACCGGCGGCGAAGGCGGCCAACUGGACGAAUACUGACGCUGAGACACGAAAGCGUGGGGAGCAAACAGG